GCGGAAAGCACAACCCGGAAAGGUGGAAAGAUUAUCUCCCAGUUGGACAGCGGAUGCCUGGGACUCGUUUCAUUGCUUUCAAAGUUCCUUUAAUACAGAGUUUUGAAAAGAAUCUUGCUCCAGAAGAAUGGUUUUCCCCCUUGGAUCUUUUUUAACAAAAUCCAAGACCAGAAUGAAGAACUUGGGCUGAUUAUUGACUUAACAUAUACUCGCCGCUCUUAUAAGCCAGAGGUAAAUGGAACCGGUAAUUGAAAAUGACCUUCUUUCUGAUACUGUAAUAAUUCAUAGUAAUUCAGUAGUUAUCAUCUUAUGCUAAGGUGAAUCCUUGCCUUCUUUCAUGGAUUCAAAAAGGGAAGCUAGUGGUUUCCUUAAAUACACAUUUCUAAUUGCUGUUUCAAAAUGAGAUUAAAGAUAUGAAUU